rnacentral:rRNA from 1 species
CCUACGGGUGGCAGCAGUGAGGAAUAUUGGUCAAUGGCCGGGAGGCUGAACCAGCCAAGUCGCGUGAGGGAAGACGGCCCUACGGGUUGUAAACCUCUUUUGUCAGGGAGCAAGGUGCAGGUCGGGACCUGCUGUGAGAGUACCUGAAGCAAAAGCAUCGGCUAACUCCGUGCCAGCAGACGCGGUAAAACGGAGGAUGCGAGCGUUAUCCGGAUUUAGUGGGUUUAAAGGGUGCGACGGCGGUGGCACAAGUCGGCGGUAAAACACCGGGGUUACACCCCGCUCCGCCGUUGAAACUGUGUCCCUUGAGUGCGCGAAGGGUAGGCGGAAUGCGUGGUGUAGCGGUGAAAUGCAUAGAUAUCACGCAGAACUCCGAUCGCGAAGGCAGCCUACCGGCGCGCAACUGACGCUCAUGCACGAAAGCGUGGGUAUCGAACAGGAUUAGAUACCCGGGUAGUC